AGUGAACGCUGGCGGUAGGCCUAACACAUGCAAGUCGAACGGCAGCACAGUAAGAGCUUGCUCUUACGGGUGGCGAGUGGCGGACGGGUGAGGAAUACAUCGGAAUCUACUUUUUCGUGGGGGAUAACGUAGGGAAACUUACGCUAAUACCGCAUACGACCUACGGGUGAAAGCAGGGGAUCUUCGGACCUUGCGCGAUUGAAUGAGCCGAUGUCGGAUUAGCUAGUUGGCGGGGUAAAGGCCCACCAAGGCGACGAUCCGUAGCUGGUCUGAGAGGAUGAUGAGCCACACUGGAACUGAGACACGGUCAAGACUCCUACGGGAGGCAGCAGUGGGGAAUAUUGGACAAUGGGCGCAAGCCUGAUCCAGCCAUACCGCGUGGGUGAAGAAGGCCUUCGGGUUGUAAAGCCCUUUUGUUGGGAAAGAAAAGCAGCAGGUUAAUACCCCGCUGUUCUGACGGUACCCAAAGAAUAAGCACCGGCUAACUUCGUG
rnacentral:rRNA from 1 species